rnacentral:lncRNA from 1 species
CACUUCUCCAGUUUGCUGACUCGUGGGACUUGGCAAGCCCAGGGAAUAGUGCUGAAGGGAAGAAAGCCCCUGGAGGGGCCUCCCGGGCGGCUGCAGGCAACCCUGCUCUUUUCAUUGGCCCCAUGUGACGCCCACAAGGGAGCAGGCCUCGAAGGCCUUGUAAAUGAGUGUUUGCAGGGCCCCUCCCUGACUACAGCCCAUAUGUCAGGACACACACCUCCGGACUGCUAAAUGGCUGAGAAAAGGACAACCGUUUUCCGUGUUGGUACGACAUGCAGCAUUGGCCAGUCAAGGAUUGAGAUCAGUCAGAGUGACAGUUUCUGGGGAAACCCUCAAUACCUUUAAGGGGAGAUCAAGGACUCUAUUGAGUUGCAGAGAAGUUACUGAAGCCAUUCAUCCAUUUGGCCAACAGCCAUCAACGCAGGCCAAGGGUGUACAUGAGGAUUUUGCUGUGCACCAAGACUAGGAACUAAAGCAAUGACAGCUAUUUCGUUUGUCCCCAACAGCCAUGUGACAUUCUCCCUUCUUCCCCAAACAUGGAGUCCUGUCAGCUGGUCUUGUUGACCACCAUACAGAACAGCCUGUACCUCAUAAGAUGCCUGUCUCAGUGUGGGGCAGAGAUUUCUCGUUAAGGAUGUUCCAGCCGUGAACUCUACUGAAAGGCUGGUUUCAAGCUCCUGGAUGCAAAUGACCCUCCUGCUUCAGCCUUUCAAGUACUAUAAUUACACUCAACCAUCGUGCCCAGAUGUUUCCGGUGCCAGGCCCUAGUGACUCUUCACAUCAGUUCAGUCGUGACACUGGUAGAAUCAGCAUAAGGAUAUUGGAAAUAUUCCUGGAAACCACUCCUACACUCUAGAAUGGCUAGAAAUAUUUAUACACAGAAGUGACUGUGAAUGCCUCUAACCCAAACUGUUUGCCUAACUCCACUUUCCUUAGCCCAAUGCCCAAGAUGCCUGAAAUCAUCAAUUCAAGGAAAGAGUUUAGUGGAGAGAAAAAUCAGACUAGAAAGAGACAGUGUCUUAAUGAACUAUCAUUAUCUAUUUGUACAAAUUUUCCCAAAACUCUAUGACCACAUGAACACUCUAGUGGAGACUUUACAGUGUUAUGAAAGUGAAGAGGCUCAAGUUGAGGCUUUAUCUGUAUGUAACUUAACUCUGGCACCAGUCAAUCAAAAAAGACAGCAGGCAUGAAAAGCCAGCUCCUUUUUCUGAUGUAUACAAGCUGCCUGAGCAUUCCUGCAUGCUGACUACUGAUGCUUGUAAGUAUCUGCAGGUAAUACACUUCCACAAAGACGUAUUCUAACUUGUUACAAAUUGUGUUUUGCCAUAUUUUUCUUAAAGACUUCAUUCUUGUCUACCUUUAAACUCUCCUUUGCUAUAUUUUUUGUUUGUUUGUUUGGGUUUUGAGACAGGGUCUCCCUAUGUAGUCCAGGCUGGACUCAAACUCUCCAAAAUUCUCCUACCCCAGCCUCCCAAGUGCUGAGAUUAUAGGCGUGUGCCACCACCCUGGCUUCUUUGCUGUAUUAUCAGGCUCUUUCAUUUUUCAUGUGUUUUGCAGCCAUGAUCUGCAUAUAGAUUUUAAAAUGUUUGUUGUAUUAAGGGGCUUAAUAAAGAAAGAAUUACACAACAGACAGGUUUUGGAAGUCCUCCUUUGUGAGUGUCUUUAGUUGCUCUUUAGUUUGCAUUGAUUCAAAAUGUUUACCUUUCGUGGUCAUUUUGACUUUGGGGAAGAGCCAGAGGUUGCAUAGUGCCAAAUCUGCUGAAUAAAGUGGAUAAGGACAUACCAUAAUGUUUUCACAAGGCUCCUUUGCCACUGGAAUGCAUUUGGCAGCAGUAUUCACCAUAUUUUAUUUUCUAACACCUUGUAAAGGCACUCACAAGUGAGGUCCUCUCUUCAGAAAGUAGCAACAAUGGGACAGUGUGUUCAAAUUGAGAGGGAGUAUUCUGAGGGAAAUUAAUGGCAAUGUGUCUUUUACUGUAGUAAAUUUUAAAAAUUUAAAUGUUCACUGUAUAUUUUAAUUGUACUCUGUAAGAAUAGCUUGAAUUAAAAUGCAAAAUGUGGACUUAGGCAAAGGAAAGUAUUAAACAAUAAACUAAUGACUGAAAUGACCAAGUUAAAGAGAGUCCUAAGAAGCAUUUCCCAGGUCAAGAGCUAGAUUUGUGUCUGUUCACUGGUUUCUCCUCUAGUAGAAUCUAAGAGUAUUGAAGGCAAGGGCUAUAUAUUCAUCUCAUGUGUACAGCCUGAUACAUGUGCAGUCAGCUUUACUGAAUAAGAAAAGUAAUGAGUUGUGAUGAAAGACUAACAGAAACUGUGCUGUGUUAAUGAAUGAACACAUGAAACAACAAGUAUGAGGAAUGGUCAUGCUUUUUUGUUGCUGGUUAGGAGUCACUGGAAAUCUUGGCAAGUGUGACUCUGGCAAAGGUGAAGCAGAGGAAGUUAGAUCUGAGAAAUUCCGGAAGAGUGUUGUUUAUUAAGGAAACUCACUGUGGAUGCUGUUGCAGGAUGUAGGAGUAAGAUGGAAGGGAAGUGCAGUUGUUAACAGGGCCAAACAUCUGGGCUUUUUUGUAUUCAAAAAGAGGAGGUAGGAUCUAAAGAAGAGAAGAAGGGAGUUGGGGGACAGGAGGCAGAGUAGAGUAUCAUCAAGAUGAGUGUGAUAAAAGGUCUUCACACAAGCAGUGACUCAAAGGCUAGUGUGGUGCGGGGUCCUGGAUCUUGGCCCCCUUUUAGGAAAUGUGUACACCAUGGGCCAUGACACCAGCAGGAGUAAAUGAGUGGCCUGGUGAAAAGGAGUGAUAUCCUAAGAGAGGUCAUGGGGGCACAGGUGACGGGAGAGGAAGCCACAUGUGGCACUCACUAAUGGCAACGAUGGAACCGGAAUGCUUGGAAAGUCCCUCAUGGGAGACAAGGAGCAUUCUACCUCGGCCAAAUGAAUAAACACAAUAUAAAGUUUUCUUCAGUGGCCCCCAGGAUUUGCCAUCCUCCUAUUUCCAUGGAGGACUCCUAAAGUCAACAGAAUUAUCCUGUGGGUCAGAGCCAUGCUGAAAAGCAGUGUGGGAAGAGCACAGCCUACUCUACUAUAUUUUGACCUUGGAGUUUAUUUCCACUCUGUCUUUUUCUUUGAUCCCAAAGUUCACAAUAGCCUUUCCUUAGAUGUGUGCAUGUUUUACCUAAGUAAAUUACUCUGUGGUAGUAACCUUUUAAUUUUCUUAAUUAAAUGUGCUCUGUAUCCCAGUUAGCCAGAUCUAUGUUGAGUUUUUUGUUUGUUUAUUUGUUUGUUUUUGGCACCAGGGAUCGAACUCAGGAUCUUGUGCUUGUGAGGCAGGUGACGGCACCACUGGGCUAAAUCUUCGGCCUAUGUUAACUUUUAAUGUAAUCACCAAGAUGAUUUCCCACCCAACACAGCAUUAUACACAUAUUGAGGUUUACACUAUCCACUUAUUCUGGUUCACUCUUCUUAGGUUAGCUUUUCCCACUUUUUUUCUCUAUACCUUUUGAUUCUUUGACCUAAACACAAAAUGAACACAAAUCUAGAAAGAGAGAAACAGAACAAGAGAGUGAAGCUCAUUCUGGAAGCAAAAAAGAGAGGCCUUUCUAUUUCAUUGGCUGGCAAUAAAGCCUGAAACUCCAUCACCAUGUUGCCUGGCAACUUAGGAAAUAUUUUUGUGAUUAAACAAAAAAUAUCUGGAGUAAAUUCACAAUGAAACAGCUAAAACGCAUUAUAUCAUCCUGCAUUUCACCAUUAAAACAUGAGUAGCAGACACUUUGGGACAGAUAACCCUCAAGAAAACAAAAACAAACAUGCUGGCAAUGCCAAGAGGCAGGAGGGACCAGGAAAUGGCCUGGACUGGGACCAGAAGUCCGAGGCAAAUCUCAAACCCUUUGAGGCACUUGGUGUUUUUCAUCCGCAAAAAGAACAAGUGGGAUUAAUGAGCUCUGACAUUUCAUAAUUCAAAAGAAACAGUAAAAACUAGGAGCAUAGAACCAGUCAUUUUUUUGAACUGCAGCAUUUAUUAUGCUUGGGUAGGCUAUGAACACAGGCCUAAAGGGUGAAAAUCAUUCAUCUUGCCUUAAAUGAAAUCCACAGUGGGGUUGUUAGGUUCCCAUAAGCUAUCAAUGCCUGCUUAUUACAAGUAACCCCUUCUUUAGAAAAGCAGAAGCUCAGCAUUAUGAAAGCUGCUCAUCUCAUUAAGAGAAACAAACAAACAAAACCCUCCUGGAAAUUUCUUCAACACUAUUACAACAAGCAAUCCCAGAGUCAAGAAGUCCAGGCAAACUUAAAGUAACUUGUUUGUGGAAAUCACAAAUGAAUAGGCUAUAAAAAUAUCCAAAAAGAGAAGGUGUGGUUGCAAACUAAAAACUGCAGCAACAAAGCUUUGAAGAAUAUAGUGUGGCUGUUAAAAAUCAAGGAUGCUGGGCUCCAAUCCUGGCUUUACCAUUUACUGGGCUAUCUUUUUUAACUCUCUAUAUCUCAGUUUAUUCAUCCAUAUGGGGGUCAUAAGAGUAGCACACAGCCUCACAGACUUAUCAUACCAGUGAAAUGAGUUAGAAAUGGGCUUACAAUAGUAGCUGACAUAGAGUUAGCUAUUGUUGAAUAAGCCAGUAACUGCUAAUACCAGUACUAGAGUUUGGAUUCAAAGUCCAAGACCACUGAUUAUUAACAGUUGACCUUUGGCCAACCUUCCUGGCCUUUCAAUUCCUCAUCUCUAAAAUGGGAAUAACCAUUACUGUGAGAAUUAAACAAAGUAAUGUUUGUGACAUGCACAGAGCAGCUAUUAUGAAUCAUUACUAUCCAAUAAUCAUCAAGAAAUUUCUCUGCAAUUUAUUUAGCUUCUGUUGUUUUAUUAAUGCCUUAAAAAUAACAAUGAAUGGUGAAGACAGUCAAUUUUAUAUGCAUUUUACCACAAUAAAAACAAAUUAGAAAAAAAUAACAAUGGAUGCGAAAGACAUUUCAAGAAGGAAAGAAUAGUCUUUUCAACAAAUGGUGCUGGGAAAACUGAUAUCCACAUUCAAAAGAAUGAAGUUGGGCCCCUUGCUCACACCAUAUGCAAAGUUUACCUCAAAAUGAGUCAAAGAACUAAAUAUAAGAGCUAACCUUUUAAGCUCAUAGAAAAAAGAUAAGCAUGUCUUUAUGGACUUGAUUAGGCAAUGGUUUCUUAGCUUAGACAUCAAAACCACAAACGAUAUGCACAAAAAAACAGAUAAAUUGGACAUCAUCAAAAUGAACAACUUUUAUACUUCAAAGAGCACCAAUUAAGAAAGUGAAAAAACCCACAGAAUGGGAAAAAUUACUUGUAAAUCAUACAUCUGAUAAGGGACUUGUAUGCAAAAUACUUGAACUUUUAAAACUCAAUAACAAAAAGACAAAUACUUAAUAAAUGGAUAAAGAAUCAGAAUAUACAUUUUUCUGAAAAUAUACAAGUGGUCAAUAAGCACAGAAAAAGAUUCUUUUUUUUUUUUUGGUACUGGGGAUCGAACUCGGGUCCUUGCGCUUGCACAGCAGGCGGCGAAACCACUGAGCUAAAUCCCCAGUCCAGAAAAGGAUUCUUAACAUCAUUACCCAUCAGAGAAAUGGAAAUCAAAACCAAAUAUCACUUUAUAUCCACUAGAAGGGAUAUAAUAAAAAAGACAGAAAUAACCAAGUGUUGGUAGGGAUGUGAACAAAGUUGAGCCAUAAUAUGUACUGCUAGUGAGAGUGUAAAAGAGUGCAAAUAUUUUUUUAGAAAACAGUGUGACUAUUCCUCAAAAGAUUAACCAUAUGGUAAAUGAUAUGACAUAGUAUAUGAUUUGAUAAUUCAAACCUUAGGUAUACACUCAAGAGAAAAACGUACAUACAAAAGUUUGUACACAAAUGUUCAUACCAGCAUUAUUCAUAAUAAUCAAAGAGUGAAAACAACUAAAAUGUCCAUUGACUGAUAAACAGAUAAAUGUGCUAUAUCCAUAACAUGGAAUUGUGUCCAACAAUAAAAAGAAAUUGAUAAACACUACAUGAAUGAAACUUGAAAACCUUGAAAGAAACCAAUCACAAAAGGCCACAUAUUAUAUGAUCCCAUCUGUAUGAAAAGGUAGAAUAGGCAAAUUUAUUAGUGAAAGCAUGUAGACCAGUGGUUUCCUAGAGGUGGGGAUAUGGGAGAGAACAGUUAGUGUGGUAGGGCCCCUCCUGACAUGUCAUGUGGGGUGGGGGGACUUUUUACAAUGUAACAUAUCAGCUUCUGUGUAGGCAUGUGUAGUUCUGAGGCAACUCUGUAACAUAAAUUAUACCCAACCACACUGCAGAAUGUUAAUGUAUACCCAACCAGACUAUAAAAUGAUAGUGUAUGCCCAUAUAAGGGAGACAAAGACACAAAAACUGUAUAAAAGGGUGCAACUACACCAUGUUCAGCACUCACCUUUUGGAUAUGAAUCCACCACUUCCUGAGAAAAACUGCCUCGGUAUCCUGUCUUUCUAUACUAAAAUCCCAUUGCAUUAGGGGAAAAUGAGGAUUGACUGUUGAUGGGUGUGGUUUCCUUUUGGAGUGAUACAAAUGUUCAAGAAUUGGGGAGUUUAGUGAUUGAUCCACAAUUGUAAAUAUCCUAACCACCAUUGAAUUGUGCACUUUAAAUUAGUGAAUUACAAGGUGUGUGAAGUGUAUCUCAAUAAAACUAUUAUUAAAAAUAAUAAUGGAAACAUCAGAAGCUCCAAGAACUGCCCCGCAUACCUCCAGACAGGCCCCAAAUUUAUCUUCCAG